UCUACACCUCUACACUUAAGGCAAAAAAAAAAUAUGUGGGUUUCCGGUUUCCCGACCCUACCUAGCUUUUGGACGUCGAAAUCCCGACCCUAAACGUUUUUAUUGGAUCAUGCUUGUAAGUGUUUCCACUUAGAGGAAAAAGUUUGUGGAAAAUUGAAAUUUGAGGCAAUAUUAGGGAAAUUUAUCUUUGGAUGUGGAAGCACUGACUAAACAAAAUGGCGUCGGCUUGUUCGGAAAAUUAAAAAAAAGUUUAAAAAUAAAGUUAAAACCGACCUACCCUACUUAAGUUUUUAUAAGAAGAAACCGGAAACCCACAUUUUUUUUGGCCUAACGUAAGAACGUUUUUUUUGAAAGUGAAGCGUUCAUCUCUGUGUCAAUGUCUUGAAAGAAAUUUUGUAGUAAUUGUAAUCAAGGGCAAAAUUUGAUGAGUUGUACAGUCAUAAUUCAUUAAUACAUUGAUACAUAUAUGUACACUACGUCUACAUGC